rnacentral:misc_RNA from 1 species
UUUUCGUAGGUGAACCUGCGAAAGGAUCAUUACCGAGUUAGGGUCUUCAAGGCCCGACCUCCCAACCCUAUGUUUAUCACACUAUGUUGCUUCGGUAGGCCUGGUCCGGUCCUGCCGGAGGGCCGUCACACGUCCUCUGGCGAGCGCCUACCGAUAGCCCCAACCAAAAACUCUGAAUUAAACAUGUUUGUCUAAGUAUACAUAAAAAAUAAAGCAAAACUUUCAACAACGGAUCUCUUGGUUCUGGCAUCGAUGAAGAACGCAGC